rnacentral:rRNA from 1 species
CGAACGCUGGCGGCGCGUUUUAAGCAUGCAAGUCGAACGGUAGAAAGGUGCUUGCACCUUUUGAGAGUGGCGAACGGGUGAGUAACACGUAGGUGAUCUGCCCUUAAGUUGGGGAUAGCCCAUGGAAACAUGGAGUAAUACCGAAUACGGUCCCGGGACUAUAGUUCUGGGAAGAAAGGCGCUUCGGCGCCGCUUGAGGAUGAGCCUGCGGCUGAUUAGUUAGUUGGUGGGGUAAAGGCCUACCAAGGCAACGAUCAGUAGCCGGCCUGAGAGGGUGAACGGCCACACUGGGACUGAGAUACGGCCCAGACUCCUACGGGAGGCAGCAGCUAAGAAUCUUCUGCAAUGGACGAAAGUCUGACAGAGCGACGCCGCGUGGGUGAAGAAGGCCGGAAGGUUGUAAAGCCCUUUUCUAUCUGAGGAAUAACCACAGGAGGCAAUGCCUGUGGGAUGACGGUAGGGUAGGAAUAAGCCCCGGCCAAUUAC